rnacentral:sRNA from 1 species
GCCCACUUCCACAGUGACACACCUACUCCAACUGGACCACACCUCCAAAAAGUGCCACUCCCUGGGCCAAGUGUAUACAAACCAUCACUGAGGUGGCCACUUGUGUACCUGUCUUUUGCCAUUUAGCAGUUAUACUGUAGGGAGAGAGGAGACGAUACCUAAGUAUUUAGGAAAGUGGGUGGGAUCUUAAGGACUGGACAGGGGUUGUUCACUAUGUGGAUAUUUCAGCAAGCAGCCACAUUUCAGGAAAAUCUCUGCAUCUUAGGCUUCUGGGUACUUCCUGUCAAGAAAGAACCCAGUUUAAUGUUCACGUCAGCUUCUGGCAGUUGGUGGCAGUGGUUAGAGUUAGAAGAGUGUUUAUUUCUGAAAUGGUUUGCUUUGAAAUGAAUGGCUUGCUGAGACCUCCGCAGUGCUCGUGGGAACCCUUAUCUUGCUAAACUUUGUCCUAUGAGCAGAAUGCCGGAGUGAAUGGCCCGUGCACAUUUUAGCCUACCAACUAAUUUAGAACUCAAAAGUAUAUUGAGUGCUGUCUUACUCCAUUUUGGAGGCCGUUUCAAAGUGAAAGUGAUUCCACCAUCCAGAGAUGGUUGCUAGGAACUGCAUUUCCUACCUUCAGCAAAGGGUAAGUUGUCAGAAGUAGCAGGAGGGUGGGUAGUGAGAUGUGCAGAGAAUUUUAAGGGUGCACAGCAAGCAAGGGCCUGGCUUCCCAGUGGGUGGCUAGGAAGACAGCAAUUUGGAGGAAUAAACAUUACUGAAGAAUUUGCAGUCUCUGAAGGGACUCGGACUGUGGUCUUAAAGGAUGCUUAAGAUACUUCUGUGUUUUCUCCUCAUCAGGUCAUUGCCUCCAGAGCAAUUUAGUGCAAUUUAAAAAUAAGCACACAGUUAACUACCAUAAUGUGGAGAAACAAGUUGUUUCUGACUGUGCAUGCUAACUUUCUGUCUAUUUAGAGCAUAACUUAUAUUAUAUACAUACCGAGCCAUGACAUGACUGUGUAGUGGCCUCAUAUAAUAUCAGCAUGUAAGGUGGGUUGUUCAAAUAGAUCAGCAGGGUGGGAAGUGUUCAGAGCCUGCACCGGCUCACAGCCAGGUGCAUAGCUGUGCGUAUCCCACUAAAUGUGUUUUCGUCUCUUGAUCCUCAUAAGCAUCUCUGUGAACUGAAAAACCUCUGUGUGCUCUCCACGGUUGAUUUCAGUGUGAAUUAUGUUUAACUCUAGCUCUCCCAUCAUAAGGCUUGCUGAAGGCUCACCGUUGGGUCUGAUAAUAUCCCUCUUCUUGCUAAGGGCACACACAUUCAAAAUUGGAGUGAGUGGGUAGAGCAGCGCUUUAAUUUGGGUCUCGUUGGUCAUGGUUUGCAUUGGGGGCACCUUGAGGCCCAUUCCUUAACUGUGGUUUCGAGUUAUGUCCACACAUCGCCCAGAGAUCCUUGGAGAAAUUGAAACUGGAGAUCAAGAUCUCUAUAGUGUCGACCAGGUAGACACUUACUGGGGCAGGACAGGGAUGUAAUAUUACUGGGGUCUAGGGCUGGCAGUGUACUUAGUAUCUGGCUCUGCCUUCCUCUGGGGAAUGGCAGAAAGACCAGAAAACAUAUACUGCCCAGCUGUCUCCUUCGGCAGGCUUGGAAGUCUCUUCCGGACAAAGGAGAUGGUGAAGAGGAGAAGAACCUUUCCUCUCCUUAGGGUUCACCUUGCAGAAGUUCACUGGCCUCGUCUAUGCUCUCUGGAACGACUCCUCCAGACAACAAGGUCACAUAGAAAGGUCCGGAAUGCUGGGCCUGGUUCAUUGGGACACAUGGGUUCAAGCAUGCCUUCAAGCUUUCUGUGAGAGUCACGUCACGUGGCACACUGGGUCCACUGUCUCUUCCUAUGGCCUCAUGACUCUAUUGAAAUUUCCCUCCUAGAUCUAAUUAUAUUGUUGGUAGCAAUGUCUGUGGAUAAGUCACUUCUGUGUUCCCAGGUCACAGCAUGGUGUCACAGGUAUACUCCACAAAUAUUUGGGAAAUAAAAUGAUAAGCAAAUAAGCAAACUGCAGGGCUCUUUAAAAUGGUAGAUGAAAGGUGUAGGUUUAAAAUUCGUUCUUAAUUGGAGGCAAUGACAGGGCUUUGAGACAACUGAAAUGACGGAGUCAGGACUGGAAUAUAAAAUCACCGUAAUAGAAAAAGCACAGACUCUUAAGAUUUAGAAGGACCUCAAAGGAAUACCCAACCCGAUGUCUUGUCUUAAAGCCUACGCUCUCCUGUAAUUUUCCCAUUAGUGCUAGUUGGGACUUUGGACAUCUGCCAAGACCUGUUCUCUUUUCACAGUGAGCUAAAAUAUCCUGUGUAGCUUUCAUCUCUAAUUUUGUUUCAUGGAGAUACCUAGAUGAAAUGUUGCUUUUUUUUUUUUUUUUGCAUGUGAUCACCUUCUAUUUAUUUGAAGAAGUAGUUUCCCAUCCCUUAGUCUGUCUGCCAGUAAAAGGACACAGCCCCCUCAUCUGCUCCCUGUAUGUCGUACUGACCUGCUAGCUGAACUCUGUAUGGUGCAGCAAAGGCAUGGUCCUAGAGCAGAACGGGCUCAUCACUCUAAAGCCACAUGUCUAUGAAAGGCAGCUUAAUCUCACCAGCCUGUCCAGACCUGAGUUCGCUUUUCUGCUGAGGAAAAAGAUAACUUUCCUCUGCUACCGCUGUAUCUCUAGCCUUAUGUAAUUGCUUAUCUGGAUACAAGAAUAUGGAUUUUAACAAGUUUUCGACCCUCCGUCAUCAUGGGUAAGAGCACUGUAAGAGACCCAGGAAGGUGUCUGUUGAUGUCCAUCUUUUGCUGCAAUGCUAUGACCUAAGGGAGACAUGUGCUUAAACUGACCUGACCAAUUCUGAGUAUAAUUUGCUGCCUCCUGGGGAUUACAUUUUCCUUUCCUGGCUGCUCAGGAACAGCCUAAUAAACCACUUAUGAUUUCCUCCAAGGUGACCUCUCUCUAGCUUUUAGAACCAGCUCCUCCACAUGAACAGUUGAAUGACAUUUGCCAGCCCCCCGUCUUUUGGCACAUCUUCACUUUUCCAUGACUUCUCCAGAGCCGCCUGACACGGCUGGAGCGUUAGUGUUUGCUGUAGCAGGGGCUUACGAUGUCUCUGGUUGUGAUUCUGAGGCUGUAUUUAAUUUCACCUUAAGUCUAUUGUCUGAUUCUUUCUAGGCCUUGGGUGUUGGGGUCAGACCUAAUUUCUCCCCUAAGUUUUCACACUGUAUGUGUGAAAGAAAAGAAAUAAUUUUUUUUUGUAGUACAAGUUCCAGUGCGAGCGGCGUAGAGCCCCGUCUGUGGAUGUUGGAGAGGUUCCUUAAACAGUAGGCUUUCUUUUAAGAAUAUAAAUGGAAAUAAGGAGCCCCCCCACAAGUAAUACCCCCCAAAUCAAAACAAGUAAACAUAAAACCCAUCAAGAAAAUCACCUUAUAGCCACAGAACUGAGUCAAGAAUCAUGAGGACUUAGAGCAGCCCUCCCCCCCCAGGUAGUUUGGGGUCAUCUGGCCUUUGCACUUAACAGAGGCAGUUCAAGGACCACUCCUGCCCCAUGUAGGUGACUCUGCUCGUUCACUUGCAGUGUGUAGACCUUUUCCUGCCUAGGAAGGUACUGGCCCUUUGGUGGUGUUAUCAGAAGCUUAUCUUAGACUAGGGAGACAGAGAUGGAAGAUCCCUGAGGGCCUGGUAGCCAUUGCUGGACCUGGGAGCUCUCCCUGUGAUUUCCAGAACUACAAGUGAAUUUCAUCUCCUUCUUGUCCCAAAAUGAGACUCUGUUCUCCCAUUCAUGUGACUUGAUUCCAUUAUCCUAAAGAAUGUCUGUGUCGGUUCCCAGUAGGUCAGAGAUGACUGAAAACCAGGUCUCGUGGUUAUGUUUUUUUCAGGCUCUAUUCACAAGUUCAAAAAUGCUGGGAAUUUUGGAAAGCCUUCUUGGGAAAAAGAUGAGUCAUAUAGACAAACUACAGUCCUCAAAAACACACCUUCAUCCCCACCCACCUCUGACCGAGGCAUUGUAUGUGUGCAGACGUGUGGGUUUGUCCUUCUCUUAGAAUGGUGUAUAAAAGACUCCUCACUGUGUGGAGCAUUGGGUCUAUGGUUACUUCAGACUAGCCAUAUCUGAGUCCCGUCCAGGAAACCAAGCCUCAAAGCAAAGCUGCUCCUUACCCUACCCCCACCCCACCAAUCCCCACUUAGUACUUGCAAAAGAAAGUACACCAAGAGCCCUGUGUGUCUAACCUGUUCUCCCACUGCAGAAGUAAAACCAGGUUUCUUUCCCAACAUUCUACAGUUCAUACCUUUUAAAACAUUAAUUUUGACAGAGCUGCCUCUGGCCCCUUUCCAAAGACAUGAAGUUUUACUGAAAGUGAUUGGAAAGAAAGGAACAAAUGGGUGUUUAAAAGGAUUAAAAUGCAGAGUUAAAUUGAGACCUUGAGUGAGUUUGUGGGAAGGGGUGGGGGCUGGAAAGUCUGAGAGUGUAGAGUGGUGGCUGAUAGCAGUGUGGCUCUGCGCUAGGGGAGAAAAGCCAUUUGGUAUUCUCAAUAGAAGAAUGGCCGAUUCUUUUAAUAUUCCCCAAAUUGCCGCUCUUGGGGUUCCCAGUGCUUUUGCCCCUGUACUUUUCUUCUUUCAAGCUAAUCAUUUGGCAUCCGGGCACAUAGCUGCCUUCUGUAUAAAUACGUGUACAUUCAAGCCUUUGCUCCAACUCAGUGUAAUUCCUUUUAGAAAAUAAUGUUUUAAAGGAGCACAGCCUUAAUUCAAGGAAGUCCUGGCUGCUCUUAUUGUCCCCCAAAUCAUACAUUGUUUUCCACUGAACACUGCCGUUUGCUUAUAUUUCCCCACAGUUUUUGUUUGGGGGAGUUUUGUUUUGUUCCAGCAGCAGCUGAAGUGAUUUUGAGUGUUUGCUGCACGAUGUUAAUUAACCAAAUGUUGCAACCUGGGACUUGGGAACACCUGGGCCGACUGAAACUGCUUAGAAUCCCUGUGGAAAUCUUCAGAACAGUGGAAGGGAAGAACUUGAGGUGAAACUGUACAGGAAAGUAUUUUUUUUCUUCUUCUUUAAAUUCCUCCCUAUUUUCGAAGCAGAGUUAAAACAGACAAGAAACUGCCUUGCUCCCAAGAUAUAAUCUUUCUUAGCAGCAGAAGGGUGUCCUAUGUAUGUACAGGUUAACCCGUAGGUGUCCCAGACCGUUUGAAUGAAGGUAGGUUUGAUUUAUGUCUGUUUGGUUGACUUUUACUUUUAAUCCCCAUUUGUUUGGUGUGUUUGGACUUGAUCAUUUUAAAAGCGCAAGUACUUGCAAAGACAAGGGACGAUAGGAACUACUCUGUCACAGUGAGAUUUAGGCUACCCAAACCUUUUGUUUACCCAUUCUUCCUUCUGGGGGUAGAAACCAUAUUUGAGAAGGAAAUGAAGCAUGUUUUUGUUACUAGCUGAGCACAGUUCUGGCCACCCCACCGGGAGCCAUGCAGAAGGGGCUACCUCAGGUGCACUGCUGUGGCCUGUGCAGCAGGCCUGCCCUUUUCCACCACAUCCAAGAUGUGGACUGACAGAUAUUGCAGAGCAGAUUCAGUAACUCACCACGAGCUCUUGAUCUAGGGCUUGCUCUGUGCCCUUGAGGAAGUUCAGCCAUUCCCAGGCCCCUACCCACCGAGGUUCUUAAUGAAUCUUUUCCAUGCUCACCUUCUGAACAACUAAUGUGCUCAGGUGCUGCCAAAAUCCCCUUAAAGGAAUGGCCCCUGGUUACGAACUCUUCCUCCUAAAUAUAGCAGCAGAUUAUUAACUGAUUUGAGUGUCCCAGUGAGACGUCAGAUUAAAUACAAGACUUUUUCAAGAAACCACUAAAAGGCUCUGGAAUACUGAUCUUUUUAGUUGAUUGAAGAGUAUAUUUGAAAUUCAUAAAAAAUUUCUAAUCAUUACACAUGAAAAUAAUCACCCGGGAAGAGUUAAAUCCUGAUGAGCUGGAUAAGCCUAUCACCUCAAUUAAAAAAAAAAAUCAGGAUUCUGGAGAGAUGGCUCAGAGGUUAAAAGUGUGUGCCUCUCAUGUAGAGGACCUAAGUUCAGUUUUCAGCAUCCAUAUCCAGUGGCUCACAAAUGCUGGUAACUCCAGCCUCUUGGGAAUCCAACACAUAUGGCCUCUGUGGGCACCCAUAGUUGUAUGCCUGUAUACUUUCUCCACAGACACAUAAUUAAAACUAGGAUAAAGGACUGGGCAUCCAAAGAGCUUUCUGGGCUCUGAGUCUGGGAUGAGUCUCCAUGCUUUGUGUCUCUAAGCAAGUUCUCAGUUGCUGCUGAUGCUGUGAGACCAGGAAGCAGGCUUGACAAGCCCGGAGAUGAACAGCAUAACUCUUGCCAGAGGACAGGGAUGCAAUUAUUUCAGACAUAAACCACACACCCCCACACACACACGUACACGCACACAGGCACACGCACGCACGCAUGCGUACACGCACAUUGUAUCCAUUCUGAAACUACAGCGCUUCAUACCUUCCGUCUUCUCAAAGUAUUUUUUUCCCCCUCCAUGUUUUCUAACUUAGUUCUGUUGAUGGCACUCUUGAUUGUCAUCUGCCUUGAAAGUGCUCAGAAACGUACAGAAUCUCUGUCUAUAGCUUUCACAUUUUUCACAACUGUCUGCCAAAUUUGGUUUUCUCCCUUCGCUUACAUUAAAGAUUUUAGGAAAAGAUUUUAUUUGGUUUAUUUAAUGUCCUUAUUUGGUUACAUAACACCAGGGGCUAUCCAGUUCUCAUGUCAGGAUCACAUUCAUAAGGCCUUCUUACUGAAAUGGGCUUUGAGAAGUAACUUGGCAAUCUCAACCACAGUUUUGUUGUUUUUAAAUAAUGAAUUAAUUCAGACAGAAAAUCUUGAAUUGUAGGUUGAUUUAACAGUAUUUUUGCUCCUUUGAGUUUUAUGAGAGGUAUAGUGAUUCAUAUUUUUAAAGUUACUGGAAGACAGUUGUCAGGACUGAAAUCUGCAGGCUCCUUAAAGACCAAGACUUUGACGAGUGUCCCUAUUUAAAAUCACCAUCCAAGCAAUAAAGAAAUGAUUAAUAAGCCAACCAAUUACUUAAGUUCCAAGACUAAAGGGCAGUCUUCUGCAGGACACCCAAAGGGUUUGUUUUGACAAAUGGUCUCAGUUCUCUCUUAUUAGAAUCAGUCGAGGAAGAUCUCUUAGUCCUUUUCACAUUCAGACAAUCCAGUUUGAGUCUAUGUUGGAGAAAAACUGACCUCGGACUUGGCAUGUACCCUACCAUUCACUGGGCUUCCACUUCGCACUGUGAUGAACCCAAAGUGACACUUAGAUUCCAUUGAUUCCUAACCUGAGCAUCCUGGCUAACCUGUCUUGUCACUCUGUAACUGUGACAGUCCUUGAAAAACACCCAGAAACUCUUAGAAAAUUUUCGCAUCCUCAGCAGAGUCUAUGAUAUUGGAUACGCUGUAUCACCUACCUACCUAAUCUUUGCAGAGGUGGGGAGAUGAACAAGUCUUGGUUUCUUCCAGGCCUGCUCUCCUGUGCCUGUAGUAUGUAGUUGUGAACCCUGGGGGUAGGGAUUGAAGGCCUGUGAAAGAAAGACUAGUCUUAGAUGCCAGUAGAGAACUUCCGUUGGCUUUUCCUAGUUGUCCUUCAGUGGUGAGAGGCAGCACUAGGCAGGUAGGGGACACACGUGAAUUCUUUCUUCAGUAAGGCCCUUUGAAGUUGCUCUUCAGAAAGCAUUUGAAUACAUGCAGAAAUCCACAUACGUGAACCUCAGGAGGACAGCCGGUGGCCUGCUAGGUUCCAUAUGAAAUCAGUAGCGUGUAACUGUCCUAGCUGUAGAAUAGUGUCUCAUCUUACACGCAGAGAGGAUAAAGCCACGUCUGGUUUCCGCACCUUUUCAUUGUUCCAUUUUGUAUUUCUCCCCGAGGUUUCAAAAGGAUGGAUGAUUGCUGGUGUGGUAGGAUGGCAGCCACACCCAGUGUCUGACAGUGAGAGAGGACAUGGGAUGGAUUCCCACACAGUUCUUCCGCUGUGAGAGUUAUGCCAGCAUUGUGAUCAGAGACAGUGCAAAGCAAUUGAUCCAUCGUGAGGGAGCCUUGAGUGUUACUGCCUCGAUCUGUCUCUGGGCAGGGACAUCUGUAUGCCCGGUGUUUAAUGUACUUAAAGGCUAAAUCUGUACAUUAAGAAAUCAGGAGUAAAGAAGUUGUGGAAAUGCGAACUUUGAAAUGUAAUGAACAAAAGCUUCUAGGAGAGUUAAGUGUUCUAUCUGACUAUGUUAUAACCAAGUCUCCUUCAUCCUGCAUGAGAUUAAUAUUAGAUAUUACAGAAUGGAAUUUCAUGCUGACCUGUAAAAGUAAAACAAAACGUUAAAAGGACAUGCCCUAGAAUUAUUUUUCCCUUGUAAUCAGACUAACCCAACCUGUAGAGUCCAGGGAAAACAUGUUGGGUUUCACACUUAAUCCCCCAGAAGUCAGUUCUUAGAACUGUUAUCUAAAGAGCUACAAGUUGGGAGUGCCUUGGCUUGUAGUUCCAGAAUGGCCUUUAUCAUCUGGAUGACAGUUUUUCCAAUUUAAUUAACAAUUUAUUCAGUCGUAAAACUACAGUGACUCAUGUAAUUAAAGGCUUCCUUCUGUGUCAAUAGAGGCUUUUUGGAGCUUGGUAACAAGUUGGACAACUUCUCUGCUGCUUUUCAAAAGAAGUAGUCAAUCAGUGGGUAAUAUUUUUAGAAUUUCAAAACUUGAAUAUGGCUGGCCGCUAAUCGUCUGAAAAGAAACUGCUUGAUUAAUUACAAUGAAUGCAUGCAUAAGUGACAACACUUUCUUGGGCCUCAUUGAAGCUUUAGCAGGUGGCCUCCUCCAAGCAAGGUGAACAGGAUGGGGAAGGGCCACCUCUCCAUCUUCAUUAAUACUCUCCUUAAAACAAACAAGUUCCCCCUCCCCCAAACUUAUGAGCUCACAAAACCGACUGAGGUCAUUAUAUGUUUUGCCUAGUGAUUUAAAAAGUUUUUUUUUCACCUUGCUAGAUUUUGCUAGAUUUUGAGUCUCCCUUGAACAUGGGCAGCAGUACAUUCUUCAGGAAGACACCCAAGUAGAGUUUUUCCACAGCUAUCAUAAUAAUAGCGUCAUAUUAAAUGAAUGGUGUGUUGACAAAGCCAACCGUUUGAACAUUUGGUGAGCAUAGGCAAAUUAAGAAAAAUGUUGAGAGAGAUACUGCCAGUUAAUUAAGUGACCACAAGAUCUAUCUGAAGUUUGACAUGGAGAAUUUCAGUGUAUGGUGACGUAACCAAUUUACCCAGUCCUGAAGAGUUCACUGUAGAAUUUGGAAAUGCCGUAGCCUCUCUUUUCAGACAGGGCAGUUCAGGUAGGAGUCAGGCAGCCCAGGAGCAACAGAGCCAUGUGACUUCGUACUCGGUUUCUGGGAUAGUCCUAAGUAAUGUAUCUGAGAAACAAGUGACAUUUUAUGCCAAGAGAAUCCUCCAGCUCAAACAACUGCCAUUUUAUCUUCAUACCCUUGGUAGAUUGAGGGUUUUUUGAGGCACAUACCUUCUACCACUUUUGUGACUGCAAAGUUAGUAAUGAGAGAAUCCAAAUUCAAGCCCUGGGCUGUGUGGUUUCGGAAUCUGUGCUCUAUACUUCGGUAGCCUCUUUUCUUGAUACAGUCUUGUGGAAUUGGAAGUUAUGAGGUCAUUUACGAUAAGUUUGUAACGCAAGUUCCUGUCAGUUUAUUUGGUUACCAAACACCCGAUGAGGAGGGUUUAGCCAUUCCCAUUUAGUUGCCAGUUUAGAAGGGAGCAAGCAGGUUUGGCAGAGUGCACCAUCCACACACACUCAAAAUCAAGUCACAUUAUUAUUAUUUUUUAUCAGGUCACAUUAUUAAGUCACUGGGCAAUCCAUAGUGACUAGGACACUCUCAGUCUUCUCUCUGGCUUCCUGUUUGCCACAGCUGCAGGGUGGUGGUAGGGAGCUGAAUCUCAGUAAGAAUAUAGCGCUUGCCUCCCCUCUCAUUCUCAGCCCUCCUCCUGGGUUUCAUUUCAUUGAAGGUUGUGAAGUGUGCAGGGUGUAAGGGGUCCGGAGGGAUCUGCCCUCAGGGAUGGACCUUAAGACAUGAGCUUUCAUUCUUCUUUUCUGAGCUUUUCACUGUUUUUCUUCACCUCCUGCCCCCAAGAACAACUACCAAAAACUCUGGUAGUGAUGAACCCAUCAAGAAAAAAAGAUGCUCUGAAGAUGGCCUCACCAAUCAGGCACCUGUCUGCCCUGAGCGUAAGGCGGUCGAUCUAUCAAGUUGGACUCCCCCACCUCGUCUCCGGCAUGCAGCGCAUUUCAGGGAGCAAACUGCUUGCUUGUUUGAGUCUCAGAUCAUCUUUAGCUAUUGAUAGAAACUGGAACCAAAUUGGUCGAUGUUCUCCACUUCUUUCCCAGUAGGAAUCUUGCUUUCGAUUCAAGUUGUCAAUCAUUUCUCAAAACCUACUCUUUAUUUAUACAUCUGUUUAUUUAUAGCCCAUCUUGUCGCACAGAAGUCGAGGUAAAUUAAAGGAAACGUAAAAUAGUAAAAAAAAAAAUCAAGUAAAAGUAGAAAAUAAAGAUCGGAAAAAAAAGAAAUUAGAAGAGUGCAGGACCCGAGAGGAGAAAAGAGACUUGAUUUUUAGUUUUUUAUCUAGGGAGCAAAACAAAAACCACAGAAGCAAAUGUGAGCUGUUGUCAGGUCUGGAUUUUUGUUGAUGAGGAAGAAGAAACAAGGCUUCCCACACUAAAAGAAAAUUCUCACGUGGGUCUCCUUUCAGAUGGUAAUUCUUGUGAAAAGCGUAUAGGUAUUAUGAUUGUAAAGAUGACCUUGGGUCUUUCUACCCAGUAGGGAAUCGGGAAAAUUAAUACUUAUAGAACACAAUAAAUGUAGCUCAAGGACAAGCCUUCGCAGGAGAGUUGGGGGAAAUAGCAUUCAUUCUGACAGAGACACCUGGGCAGGCCGAAAGAAGGCAGAUCCAGCAGGAAGGUGCUAGUGGGUGUCUAGAAAGGGUAGACCCUGACUAGGGAACCGAGAGAUGAGCCUUCGGUGCCAGAGAAUAGAUGGUUAGAGUGUGGGCUUGUACUGGGGGUGAGGCAGACGUGCAGUAUUUUGGGACACAUGUAGGAGAAUGCAAGACAAGGGGGAGUGUGAAAAUGGCGUUUGGGAGACUGUGGUGUCUGCGGAAGGCCUAUUCUCUGGCCCACGUUGAAGGAAACUUAUUCUGAUACCAAGUAAAGGAUAUGGGACUGAGGCAAGGAGCUCCAUGGAAGAGACCAGUUAGGGCAGGACACUGUUGUACUAACAAGAAAACUGGCCAGAGCCAGCAGAAUAAAAAGGAGAGCAAAGGGGACUCUGCAUCCUGAAAUUCAAACCACCCAGUCACCUAGCCAGAUCCGGAAGUACCUAAGGGACAAGUAAGAGGUGACAAAGGAGAUAAACAAGAGCUCUGGGCUAGAGUAAAGGUGUCAAGUAUGCAGGGAUGGAACCAUUGGGGUCUUGUAGCUUUGCUAAAGUAUAACACACCAGUGAAGAACGUUAAUGUUAGCAUGGCUUGUCUUCUCAUAGGCAUUGGAGUUCAUGUUUUCUUGUGUGAUAUUCUAAUGAGAGUUGGGAAGAGUACAGAAGUACAUGCCUGAUAGUAAGUGCUGAGCUCAGGGACAGUUUACGGUAAGCAACUUCAGAGGUCAUUUUUUAUUUCAUUUUUAUUGGUGUGUGUGUGUGUGUGUGUGUGUGUGUGUGUGUACAGGUACGUACACACAUGUGUGAGGAUGCCUGCACAGGUCAUAAGAGGGACUCCUGACCCCUGGAGCUGGAGUUGCAGGUGGCUAUGAGCCACAUUCUCUGAGGCCAUUUCUACUCCUGGUGCUUUCAUUUGUUUCAUUGUCUCCUCUGCAGUCUGUGGGUCUCUCAGAAUAUGCUCAGAACUUGCCUUGCCUGAAUACUCUACCCACAGCAGCUGUACUAGAGUUCGUGAAAGAAGCCUUCCCACAGUCAUGUAUGGCCACUGUUCCUCUCCUCUCCAUCAAGGGAGGACAGUCUGUAUGUUCUGAAGCACAGAUUCCAUAGCCUAUGGUGCAAGAGAGUCCAUGGUUCAAGGGCUCGGCUAAUAAGUAGCCAGACUAUGGUUAAAGGACCCUUAAGCAAAACCAAAUAGAAAGUUACUUACUGGGCAGGCCAGUCUAGUGUCAUGCAGCUUCCCGAACUGAUUCCUGAUGACUUGGAAAUGUGACAGUUUGCAAAGGCAGCAGUAAAUUGAUAACUGGGAGAAACCCUGAUGUGGCUCUGGGAAUCCCUGAGGACAGACACCAGGGAAGAUCUGCAGUGUCCAGUAUAUUCACGAAAGAAUGGGGCAGUCAUUUCCUGGGGGAGGUUUGAAAACUUGUUGGUCACCUCUAAAGAAACCCACAUCGAACCUCUGCCUCCUUCCACCACUCAGUCCCUGACAACUAUUACUCACUUUGUGCCUAUGAAUUUAUUUGUUUUGAAAGUUUGAUAAAAAUAAAGUCAAAAGCAAAUGA